UACGAAGGGGGCUAGCGUUGUUCGGAAUUACUGGGCGUAAAGCGCACGUAGGCGGAUUGUUAAGUUAGGGGUGAAAUCCCAGGGCUCAACUCUGGAACUGCCUUUGAUACUGGGUAUCUUGAGUAUGGAAGAGGUAAGUGGAAUUGCGAGUGUAGAGGUGAAAUUCGUAGAUAUUCGCAGGACACCAGUGGCGAAGGCGGCUUACUGGUCCAUUACUGACGCUGAGGUGCGAAAGCGUGGGGAGCAACAGG
rnacentral:rRNA from 1 species